rnacentral:lncRNA from 1 species
GAGGCAAGCCACCGCAGAACACCCUCCACUGACCUGCUUGAGUUCCAGUCCUGACUUCCUUUGGUGAUGAACAGCAGCAUGGAAGUGUAAGCCGAAUAAACCCUUUCCUCCCCAACUUGCUUCUUGGUCAUGAUGUUUGUGCAGGAAUAGAAACCCUAAGACAAAUUGGUACCAGCAGAGUGGGGUAUUCCUGUGACAACCUGACCAUGUUUUCGGGAGGUCUGUGGAAGGACUUUGGAACUUUGGUCUUGAAGAUUUGUUAAGAGCUCUGUGGGAUGCUGUGUAGGAGCUUGGAAGAUAAUGUUGAGAACAGUGCAGAAGAUGGAGGCCUGGCUUGUGAAAUUUCAGAGGGAAAAUUAAAGACUCUUUUCAGGGCCAUUGCUGUUUUGAUUGUGAAGAUUCUGUAGUUCUGGUUAGCUGGGGCUGAAGAAUCAGCUGUGAUUAACAAGAUACCAGAACUACUAAAGCAAAAACUUUGCAUUACUGGGACUAUUGAUGCUGGUUAGCUGGAGCUAAGAAAUUAGCGGUGAUUAAGAAGAGACCAGCAUCAUUGAGGUGACAUCUUCUGGGAAGUGUUUUCUGAGAGCACAGUGGCUGUGUUCCAGAUAUAGCGAAAGUUGUACCUUGUGCUGUGGCUGGACUUGAUAAUGUGUAGGGGUCACCCAAGUGGUACUGGUUUUGAAGGCAUGAAGGAGUUGAGCAGAGCAGCUGAGGCUUGGCACUGUGAGAGGCCAUGGGAGGCCAUUGGUGAAAGUCCAGCCUCAGUUGCAAUUGAUGGCCCAGGACUGAAGGGGUCAUGGAGUGUUUUGGAGAUGCCAGUACCAUGAGAUGACCACCAAGAGCAACAGCAGCAGUGGAGUACAGGCAUAUGGAGCCUAAAGGAUGACGCGUGUGCUACAAAGGGCAUGGCUGGAGAAGUGACCCAAGCCCUUGGAGGAGCCCAGAAGAUAGUAAGUUGGAUCCCAGACAUUGGACGGUUGGAGAUUGACUUUUGCUUUUGAUUGUGGCUGUGCCCUGAUAUUUUCCCUCUUGAAGGAAGAAACU